UGAACAAAAGUGCUUACUCUAUUCUCUUACCUUUGUCACAUAUGGCUAAUUGUAAACUUCGAGCUACUUAGUAUUGCUCGACUGUUCCCUCGGAAAGAGCUCCAAUUACCUCCAAAUUAUGGUCAUCUCAGUUAGUGGAGAUUGAUGGCAAGGAUAAUACAGCUGUAAACAAGCAGUAAGAUGGCUGGUGCAUGCCAAACAGGGCCCCUUGAGUUGCCUUGAGAUUUACUUUUAUGACAUGGCUUUGGGAGAUAAGUGGGGUUCCAAUAUGGAAAUUUGGGGGUUGGGGCUGCCACCCCAUGUGGAUUGUCUUCGGGACGAAUAACCAUAGCUUUCUGCGUUCCUCCAUGUGAGUCUUUCUCUCAGUGAACAACAUCUCUCAAAGUUCUGCCUAAUAUCAUAUGCUUUUUUUAAGGGCCUAACAUCUCUUUCAUACGUCUUGUCCACCUAUGGUCCAAUAAUUAUUAUAUAUCAUAGGAAAGAGCAUGCACCCGCUUCUCUUUCACCUUUCAACAC